UGUGUCUGUAUCAAAGUGCAGCACGUACACAAAUGUACAGGAGUGUUUGUCUGCACAGGAUCCACACUGUGUCUGGUGUGGCUCUAAACAAAGGUGCACAUUUGAAGACGACUGCCAAGAUUCUGACUGGUUAUCUAUUCCUGAUGAUUCCACAGAGAAAAUCAUUUCUCACAAAGUUCUAAAGAACCCCAGUGGAGAGAUCACACUAAAGAUCCAGACCCACAUGACU